rnacentral:rRNA from 1 species
AGUGAACGCUGGCGGUAGGCCUAACACAUGCAAGUCGAACGGCAGCACAGUAAGAGCUUGCUCUUACGGGUGGCGAGUGGCGGACGGGUGAGGAAUACAUCGGAAUCUACUUUUUCGUAGGGGAUAACGUAGGGAAACUUACGCUAAUACCGCAUACGACCUACGGGUGAAAGCAGGGGAUCUUCGGACCUUGCGCGAUUGAAUGAGCCGAUGUCGGAUUAGCUAGUUGGCGGGGUAAAGGCCCACCAAGGCGACGAUCCGUAGCUGGUCUGAGAGGAUGAUCAGCCACACUGGAACUGAGACACGGUCCAGACUCCUACGGGAGGCAGCAGUGGGGAAUAUUGGACAAUGGGCGCAAGCCUGAUCCAGCCAUACCGCGUGGGUGAAGAAGGCCUUCGGGUUGUAAAGCCCUUUUGUUGGGAAAGAAAAGCAGCAGGUUAAUACCCCGCUGUUCUGACGGUACCCAAAGAAUAAGCACCGGCUAACUUCG